rnacentral:sRNA from 1 species
GCCUCCCAACAGGAAGUAGGCGUGUGAAGUGUGAAGCCUCCCAACAGGAAGUAGGCAUGUGAAGUGUGAAGCCUCCCAACAGGAAGUAGGCAUGUGAAGUGUGAAGCCUCCCAACAGGAGGUGCAUCUUCUGAGAAAUGCUGGCGAUGAAGUUACCAUCACCGUUGAGUAUCUCAGGGAAGCGCCGGCAUUUCUGAAGCUCCCGUUAGGGUCCCCAGGGCCAUCCAGCGACCACAGCAGUGGGGCCUCCUCUCCCCUCUUUGACAGUGGUUUGCAUCUGAACGGAAACUCCAGUACCACAGCACUCACCUUAUUUCAGAAGAAGAAGGCAGAUGGGCUCUAUAGUAGUCAUAAUGGAAACAGACCUACUGCAGAUAAGCAGAUUUUGAAAAGUGAUAUUACAAGUCAGAAUUGUACUGCUAAAUAAUCUAAUUUGUUUUGCAAAGGAGAGUAUCAUGUUUAAAUAGUCAUACCAAA